UGGUGGCCUGAAAAGUUCUAUGAGGGA
rnacentral:piRNA from 1 species